rnacentral:rRNA from 1 species
CGGUACCUGAAGAAUAAGCACCGGCUAACUACGUGCCAGCAGCCGCGGUAUACGUAGGGUGCAAGCGUUAAUCGGAAUUACUGGGCGUAAAGCGUGCGCAGGACGGUUCGGAAAGAAGGANGUGAAAUCCCAGGGCUCAACCUUGGAACUGCAUUCGUUAACUACCGGACUAGAGUAUGUCAGACGGGGGGUAGAAUUCCGCGUGUAGCAGUGAAAUGCGUAGAUAUGCGGAGGAAUACCGAUGGCGAAGGCAGACCCCCUGGGAUAAUACUGACGCUCAUGCACGAAAGCGUGGGUAGCAAACAGGAUUAGAUACCCUGGUAGUCCACGCCCUAAACGAUGUCAACUAGCUGUUGGGCCCUUCGGGGCUUAGUAGCGUAGCUAACGCGUGAAGUUGACCGCCUCGGGGAGUACGGUCGCAAGAUUAAAACUCAAAGGAAUUGACGGGGACCCGCACAAGCGGUGGAUGAUGUGGAUUAAUUCGAUGCAACGCGAAAAACCUUACCUACCCUUGACAUGUCUGGAAUCCUUUAGAGAUAGAGGAGUGCUCGCAAGAGAACCGGAACACAGGUGCUGCAUGGCUGUCGUCAGCUCGUGUCGUGAGAUGUUGGGUUAAGUCCCGCAACGAGCGCAACCCUUGUCAUUAGUUGCCAGCAUUUAGUUGGCACUCUAAUGAGACUGCCGGUGACAAACCGGAGGAAGGUGGGGAUGACGUCAAGUCCUCAUGGCCCUUAUGG